UACAGAGGGGGCCAGCGUUAUUCGGAAUUAUUGGGCGUAAAGGGCGCGUAGGCGGCUUUGCGUGUCUUUCGUGAAAUCCCUCGGCUUAACUGAGGACGUGCGGAAGAAACUGCAGAGCUGGAGUCCGGGAGAGGGGGGUGGAAUUCCCAGUGUAGCGGUGAAAUGCGUAGAUAUUGGGAGGAACACCGGUGGCGAAGGCGGCCCCCUGGACCGGUACUGACGCUGAUGCGCGAAAGCGUGGGGAGCAAACGGG
rnacentral:rRNA from 1 species